UGAAAAUAGCCUUUUAACUAGACUAGAAAUACUAGGACAAGACCAACUAAAUCUAGCAAAAACUGAAACUAAAUGACUAAAGACUGAAAUGAAACUCAUGACUGUUGUCCUCGGAGAAUGAGGAUUCACCACUUAAUCUGCUGAACUGGAGAUCGAGAAAUCGAUCUAUGUGUCAUCUGGAUGCUGAGAACCUGAACCUACAUCACGAGAAGAUGUAGCGCACGUAUGCGUCAGUAAUUGAAAGGUACUAAGCAUGUAGGAUAGAGUAAAGCUGAAAUAAAACAAAACUAAACAAGCACAAAAACAAGUAUAAUUAUAUUAACGUCAUGUGAUGAUUUCUGAGCUAACUGGAUGCAAUGACCAACUUAUAACAUGCUGAAACUGAAUACUUAAUAUACUGAUAAAUGGUCAAUGCAGAGAGUCUGACUGAACUGUGGGAGCUACUAAAAACCGAUAAUAAAACCACAUGAGCUAAAUGUUGAGUCCUAUGUAUACGCCCCAUUGAGAGGACCUAAUAUACCCUGCCAAAGGUAUAAAGGUAUGUUGGCGUGAUCACUAAACUGAUUGCCCAAAGAGGGGACUUACAACCUACUUGGCUAGAAGUUCAGGGACUAUUGGGUACGCUAAACCCUAGUCCAAUUCGGUUUUAUGCUACACCCAAUGAAUUCUGUAAAUUAAAUGAUUAUAUCUGAAUUUCUGUAAAUACUGGAUAGCUCAAAACUAAAUAUGCAAACUGAGAAUGCAACAAUUAAUCUGGUAAUUAUGCGUUUAUAAUUGAGGCAUGUAUAUCUGAAGUGUCUGAAAUAUAUGACCUAGCAUGUGUAAUUCAAGAACUAAAGAAAUACAAAUCUAGGGUAAAAAAAAUUAUGCGAUAAUCUGAGUAAUAACAUGAUAAUCUAAUUUGGAACAUAUAUUUAAUAAAUUCAUGAAGUUAUAUUAGACUUUUAGAAAACCUAGGUUUUUCAUGAUAAGAGAAUCAAGAACUGAGUGAAACAGAGGACCCAAUGGGUGAAAGGAAGCCACUAGUGAAAUACCACAUGCCUGGUGAUGAAAUCCAUGGAAAAAUACUUAAGCUUUGGGGCUGGAACUGCUGGAGCUUGUGGCGUUCUUGAACUAGGGUUCUUGAGCUUUUUUCUCCUUUAUUGGUUCUAAUUUUCAAAGUUUUGAUUUAAUAAUUUGACUUGGAUAUUUUUAAUGAUGUUUCUAGGCUUAAACUGACUAAAAUCUGAUGAUUUAGGGCCAAAACGACAUAAUUUAGGGUUUAAACAGAGUGGGAAAGGUAAAAAAACCCUAGGAAGGUUGCUGGCGGGCCUCACGACAGCCAGGACUGACGGUCCGUCGGUCUAUCGACGCCCCGUUGUUGGGUCCGUCGUGAAGGCCUGUUUGACAAGCCUUUACUAAAAUGGGCAUAACUUUUUACUCGGAAGUCUGAUUUUAGCAAGAUUGAUGGCUAUAGAAAGAUAAUUCAAUUAUCUAUAUGUGGGUAGGUAAUGAGAGACUUUAUUUAUUGUUUUCUAAAAGUUAUGAUCAUUUUAAGCUGACUCAACUUCAUUUCCCUUUAACUGGCUGUAAAUUUUCCACCUACUAACCAUGAUGGUCAUCCAUAGCUCUUGUCAGAGAGUGAUUGAAUGGAGUCUUGAUCGACGGUCAUGGACUACAGACCGUCGUUUGACCUACGGACCGUCCGUCGUCCAAGACUUAACCAAUUUUUCUAGGCUAAAAUUUUUGGGAAUUUCUGAUCUCAUCGAUAGUUUUGAAAGACGGACCGUGGUUCAGGCUACGGUCUGUUGAUGCCACCAUUUGUAGCACCUGCAGAUUUUUCGAAAAAAAUGAAUUUUUGGUCUGUUUUGGGUAUGAGGUGUUACAUUGCUAUAUUAUCACGCCACUGUUUAGUUUCUUCAUAAUAUAAUGGAUGUUCUAUCAUGUGUACCCUUAUAUUUUCAUGUAUUAUGUAUCCUCAUUUGAAAGAUCUACCAUACAACACACUGAAUUCCUCUUAAUCUACCACCUGUUUUUGUAGGUUUGCAGGUUCAAUAUCAUGCAUAUUAUUUUGAUGUAUUUUUCUAGGGUUGAAAACUUAAUUCUUCAAACUCUUAUUCUAAUCAAUCAACCCGAGGACAAAAAGUAUAAUUUGUAUUCAUUAGAUAACUCAACCGAUAAUUAAAAAAGGCACCACAUAAAAAAGUCUAUUAUCCUAUCUAAUCAUAUAUCUCAAUACAAUUUAUGUGUUUAUAAUAAAAAUAGAACCGAUAUAUACAUAUAUUAUAAGAUUUUAUACGUCGCGUUAGCUAACAGAUCCCAUUGCUCCUAAGUUCUAACAGAUCCCAUAACUCCUAAAUUCAGAUAAAUUUCUACAAAAAUUUAAGAGUUCAUAAUAAAUCUAAAGGUUUUUCUUGGUAGUGAACUAGGCAGAACUAGCAAAGCUUCCGAUCUAUCUCCUCAAGAACAGAUUUCGAACCAUAAUAAUUUUAAAUGUAUUUGUUAUGUACACAAACCAACAAAAACAAAAUGAAGACUUAUAAAGAAAUAAAAGCUUAAAGUAGAAGUUUAAUGAUGAAAGUGUACUUCACAAUAAGAUAUCAAAAUUUAAGACUUUCAUAAUACUACUUGUGCUUAUCAGAACAUGUCCAAAAUUAAAUCCAAACUCAAAUAUUUAAAGGAAAAACUUAGGGUUAGAGUUCCUUGAGCGGGAAUGGAAAGUAUCUAUUUGAAUUUUGAAUAAAAGUUGUUCGAGUAUUUAAAAAUCGAUUCUUCUGAUUAGAGAUAUAAAAUGUCAAAAAAAAUUCAUUGUCAUCUUGUCUUGAUUGGCCACUUCAAAACGAAAGAUAGAGGAUUAUAGCAACACAUUUUAGCAUAAAGAUAAUCAUGCAUAGCCCUUCGAAUACUAAGAUAGGGGUGGACAUAUUCUCAAAGAAGAUAAGGGCAGAGAUGGAGUUUAGCUGCUGAUGAGAAGUAGGUUUUAGGAGGUUUUGUUUUGACAAAUCUAAUAUAACUAAUUCUAAAGGGCUUCAAUGUUUUGGGUCUCAAUUUGGAUAAAUAUUGAGCAGCGUUUUGGAAAAAAGAAAAUGAGCCAAUUGCCCGAAUAUUUUAGAACUCUUUUGACAGAAUUUUAUCAUUUUUCCCACUAUAUUAAUUCUUUUGAGCUUCUAAUUUAAUACCUUGUAUAUUAUAUAAAAAGUUUUAUAUGUAAAAAAAUUUGAAAUAAAGCAACAAUAAUCUUUUUAAAGAAAGCAAGAAUAAGUAAUAAUAGUAAAGUUGAGAAUGAAUUUUUUUUAAAAAAAAUUAAUGAAAAUAAUGAUAAAAUGAUGAUAAUUAUAAGAAUUAUAAAGUUAGAAUAACAAUUAUAACAGGGAAAAUGUUAGAAUAUGCGCAAUGUAAGCCUUAUUCAAAUCACAAACAUAUAUAAUAGCAUAAUAAUGUAAAUUGCACUCCUCAAUUAAUUUUCAUUUUUUUCAAUUACACAUAUCAAACUUUUUGAAAUAUAUGAUUGAUUAUGAUAAAGAGUUUAAAUUUGUAACUAUCGUUGAUUUUUCAGAAUGAAUACAAGUUGUAUUUUAUGUCCUCGGGUUGGUCAGUUACAUUAAGAGUUGGUUGAAUGGAGCAGAAUCAUUGUUUCCCCCCUAGAAAGAUAUAUCAAAACUAUAUGCAUGGAUAUGUACCUUACUAAUCUCAAAAGGAAGAUGGUAGAUGAAAAGGAAUUUGCUGUGUAGUGUGAUAGAUUAUUCUAAUAGAGGUACGUACCUAGAAAGGAGAGGUAAGAAAAAAUAACAACAAAUAUAUUGAAACAUCCCUUAUGGAAGCUCUCAUGAGACACAUCUAUAUAUGAUUGGACGGUACACAUGAUAUCACUCAAAAACAGAGAAAAUUGUGGGCUUUUGAUAAGCAUGGUAUUCCACAUUUAGCUUUCAGGUUGAAUGACAUCAUGUGUAUCAUCAGAUGAUAUAUUAGCACGCCACUCAUGAGUUUCUUCACAAUAGAAGGGAUGUUCCAGCGUGUGUAUCCUUAUCUUUUCUGAUAUCACCUUUGUAGGUACAUAUACUCAUUUGAAACAUCUACCACACAACACAGUGAAUUCCUCUUAAUCUACCACUUGUUUUUGUAGGUUUGCACGUUCAAUAUCAUGAAUAUUAUUUUGAUGUAUCUUUCUAGGGGUAAAAACUCCAUUUAUCAAACUCUUGUUCUGAUCAAUCAAUAUGAGGACAAAAAAUAUAAUUUGUAUUGAUUAGGGAACUCCACCGACAAUUAAAAAAGGCACAAUAUAAAAAAGUCUAUUAUCUUAUUUAGUCAUAUGUUUCAAUAAAAUUUAUAUGUGUUUAUUAUAAAAGUAGAACCGAUAUAUACAUAUAAUAUAAGAGUUUAUAACGUAGCAUUAUCUAACAAAUCCCAUAGCUCCUAAAUUCUCACAGAACCCGUAGCUUCUAAAUUCAGAUAGAUUUCUAUAAAAAUUUAAGAAUUCAUAAUAAAUCUAACCUUUUUUCUUGGUAGUGAACUAGGCAGUACCAGCAAAGCUUCGGAUCUAUAUCAUCAAGAACAUAUAUCGAACCAUAAUAAAUUCAAA
rnacentral:lncRNA from 1 species